UCCAGACUCCUACGGGAGGCAGCAGUGGGGGAUAUUGCACAAUGGGGGAAACCCUGAUGCAGCGACGCCGCGUGGGUGAAGAAGUAUUUCGGUAUGUAAAGCCCUAUCAGCAGGGAAGAAAGAAGACGGUACCUGACUAAGAAGCCCCGGCUAACUACGUGCCAGCAGCCGCGGUAAUACGUAGGGGGCGAGCGUUAUCCGGAUUCACUGGGUGUAAAGGGAGCGUAGACGGCCGUGCAAGCCAGGAGUGAAAGCCCGGGGCCCAACCCCGGGACUGCUCUUGGAACUGUGCGGCUGGAGUGCGGGAGGGGCAGGCGGAAUUCCUGGUGUAGCGGUGAAAUGCGUAGAUAUCAGGAGGAACACCGGCGGCGAAGGCGGCCUGCUGGACCGCGACUGACGUUGAGGCUCGAAAGCGUGGGGAGCGAACAGGAUUAGAUACCCCCGUAU
rnacentral:rRNA from 1 species